rnacentral:rRNA from 1 species
GACGAACGCUGGCGGCGUGCCUAAUACAUGCAAGUAGAACGCUGAAGGAGGAGCUUGCUCUUCUGGAUGAGUUGCGAACGGGUGAGUAACGCGUAGGUAACCUGCCUGUUAGCGGGGGAUAACUAUUGGAAACGAUAGCUAAUACCGCAUAACAGUAGAUGUUGCAUGACAUUUACUAAAAAGGUGCAAUUGCAUCACUACCAGAUGGACCUGCGUUGUAUUAGCUAGUUGGUGGGGUAAUGGCUCAACAAGGCGACGAUACAUAGUCGACCUGGGAGGGGGGUCGGCCACAAUGGGACUGGGACAAGGCCCAGACUCCUACGGGAGGCAGCAGUAGGGAAUCUUCGGCAAUGGACGGAAGUCUGACCGAGCAACGCCGCGUGAGUGAAGAAGGUUUUCGGAUCGUAAAGCUCUGUUGUAAGGGAAGAACGAGUGUGAGAGUGGAAAGUUCACACUGUGACGGUAUCUUACCAGAAAGGGACGGCUAACUACGUG